AUGCUACCUGCUUGAGAACACAGAAGAGCCCAAGGAGCUCCAGCAGAGGUGGGCGGAGCAAUCUGAAGAAACAGAGGGAUGUACAGAUCUGAGACGGUGUGAGAACAUUCCCAUCAUCCACCAGCACAAACACAGCAAUACUAGAGAAACCAACCUGCACAGAGAGUUAAAGAGUAUGGGAAAUAUGGGUCAAAGAAGAUAUUAAGUUCAUCUGUCCAGUGACAGGUUAUGUCCAUUUUGAUGAAAGCGUGGAAUGAUGGGGACCAAAAUGUUCUGACCUCAGGUUGUAAUCUAUGAUAGACUUUGAUUUGGGUUUUAAUCUCAGAGCUCUGUGGAUUUGUUUACCUAGUAAGCCCCUGUGCAUCUGGAGAAGAGAGACAAGGUGAUUUGAAGUCAAAUUCACAGAGGGUAGUUUAGCAGUACUAAGUAAAAAACUGAAUUUUAAUAAGGAUAUAGAAUAUCUAAACACUAACCAACAAGGUUUCUUGACUAGAUUAUAUAGUAAGAUAACUAGUAGCACUUGAAAAAAACCUGAUGGGCAGCCCAUCUUGCUGAUGAACCUGGUGAAGUUGUGACAGUUUUUUCAUGAAGGUAUUUCUCCUGAAUAUCAAGCACUCACCAAGAAAGGCAUACAGAUAGAGUUGAGCAUAGAGAAUGCUGUCAGAUAUCCCAGAAUUCUUAGUAUCUCCAGCUCCCUGGCCCGUGACUCUGUAACUCUUUGCUGGAACCAAGACUCCCAUGUGAGAAACUUCAGCGCCUACACAAAGACAGAUUAAAGUCGGGAUAGUUCACCUUAAAAUUCACCUAAAUGCAUGUUAUUGAUCUUACUGUAAACAUAUCUGUCUGCAUCCAAUCAACGACUGAUGGACUGAACCAAGUCCACACCCUACAUUUUUUUAUUUUUCAAUAAGGUUUCAUUUGUUUCAAACUGUUUAAUUUGACACUUCUGUUUUUGCUGUAAUAUAACAUGACAUGUAAUUUAAGACAUUAACAUUUUCAUAAUUUAAAAAAAUACAAAAUGAAACAGUUUUCUAUGAUUUCUAAUUAUGCAUAAAAAUGCCUUGUAUGUGGACAGCCAACAUGGAACUUAACAUUGAACAAGUGAAAUCACAAAAAUAAAACCAUUACUGUCAAAGAAAUGCUAUUGUUUUUUUUUUUGGUUUUUUUAAUCACCACAAAACCUAAGUUGCAAUUGUCUUUUUAACCCUAUACUGACAUCCAAGCACAACGGCCUCUCCAACGAGAAAAAGUGUGGAGCAGGACUUGAUUUUGUCCAUUGGGAAUUGAUUGAAAUGCUGCGGUUUGAUAAUUACUGCGAUAAUUAAAAAUUAGUAAUUCAAGCAAGAACUGAGUUAGAUUUUUUUUGUCCUUAAGGCAGGAAAUAUUCCUCCAAUCUAAAUCAGCUCAUGCUCAGAUACGUGACUGAGCCAUCCUAAGACUAAAAGCACCCCUGACUGGGAUUGAAACAAAUUCAAGAAGGUUAGGACUAUAAAUGUCAGCGUCAUGUGAGAGGAUUAGGAACAGAAAAGACCUGGUAUUUAUGCAACAUUUCCUUGAUGAGUUGUUCACUCCUUUCCAUGAUGAUCAGCUGAGUUCUCUGAGGAACAACAAACAAAGAUUAUAAAACAUAUCUGCAUCAGAGCAUUUACAGAAAUACACUGAACAUGCUUCAUCUCUUAUUUUUCACAUGCAAACUCCCAAGGAAAUCUUCUUGAGCAGACUGGCCUUUACUAACCUGAAGUUGUUUGGCUUUGCGCUCUACUGCAGAGUUGACAGGGAUGAGGACUAGUAGCAAUGCCACCCCCACUAGAACACCUGGGCCCAAUUCUCCCCACAGUAAGCCCAGACAGAGAGCGACUCUCAGGGGAGUGGACCAAAGACAAGCUAAUGUGACCACUAGCUCUGUAACCUUUUCAACCUCCCUUAAUAAAUCUGUCCCCCGAGUGGUGUUGGAUUGCUGUUGAGAACUAUGGGAAAAAGGCAAUGUCUUAAAUGUAUGGGGGUGGGUGGGUGGGUGGGGGGGUGUAAUGGAGGGAACACGAACAAUGGAAUAAAGAAGAAAUUAAUAUACUUUUAGUGUGACAUGACAAAACAUUUGUGAAAAAAAAGUUGCAGACUGUUUUUUUGUUUGGACUGACUGAGAUAAUGAGACCGUUAAUAAGACCUUUACCUUCCUGUAGAGGAAGCCAGCUAGAACCGCUUGUGCAUUGGCUGCAACUAUCCUACUAUGUUUCUCAAAGUGAUGCUGAGAAACAGCACAGCAGCAAACUGCUCCCAACACCACCAAAGAAUAUGUGUAUCCUGCCCAGUCAAACACAGCCUGCCUCUCAGAGAACAGGAUAACCCACCUGAGAGUUAAAGGAACUAAAAUGCUAAAAAUAUCAGUUGACAGUCUCAGAAGCGCAACUUUGACUAAGGCUGGACGGAAUGUCACCCAUAUUGCAUAAAGGAGAGAGUAACCAGUGUUGGUAUUUCUGGAGACCAGCAGUGACUCUCUUCCAGAAUCCUCUUCUAAGUCCAACCUCUGUAUGAAUAAAAUAUUAACAAUAAAUCUCAUUCAAAGCAUGCUUUUAACAAUGAAAACAAGUACAACCAAGGUGUUUGUCCCUGGCUAUUGUUCACAGUUACCUCAUUGCAAU
ensembl:lncRNA